CCUACGGGAGGCAGCAGUGGGGAAUUUUGGACAAUGGGCGCAAGCCUGAUCCAGCCAUGCCGCGUGCGGGAAGAAGGCCUUCGGGUUGUAAACCGCUUUUGUCAGGGAAGAAAUCCCUUGAGCUAAUACCUCGGGGGGAUGACGGUACCUGAAGAAUAAGCACCGGCUAACUACGUGCCAGCAGCCGCGGUAAUACGUAGGGUGCAAGCGUUAAUCGGAAUUACUGGGCGUAAAGCGUGCGCAGGCGGUUAUGUAAGACAGGUGUGAAAUCCCCGGGCUUAACCUGGGAACUGCACUUGUGACUGCAUAGCUUGAGUGCGGCAGAGGGGGAUGGAAUUCCGCGUGUAGCAGUGAAAUGCGUAGAUAUGCGGAGGAACACCGAUGGCGAAGGCAAUCCCCUGGGCCUGCACUGACGCUCAUGCACGAAAGCGUGGGGAGCAAACAGGAUUAGAUACCCUGGUAGUCCACGCCCUAAACGAUGUCAACUGGUUGUUGGACGGCUUGCUGUUCAGUAACGUAGCUAACGCGUGAAGUUGACCGCCUGGGGAGUACGGCCGCAAGGUUGAAACUUAAAUGAAUUGACGGCUGAGAGNGCGAGACGACGACGAGGGAGGAGG
rnacentral:rRNA from 1 species